GUCACAGCUGUUUUCAUGCUCUUGCCAAUUUAAGCACUCUUUCCAGUGGAUUGGAAUCUCAACGAAUUUCUCUAACAGAUCGACCCAUUUGGGGCUGGUUCUCAAUUCAUUGUUGUUAUUUUUGAUUCUUAAGAAUGGAAAUUAGGGUUUUCGAAUUAUUUGGGGGGUUCUGCUUUCGUUAUGUUGCGGGCUGCUUCACCGUGCAAGGGGACAAAGCUUUGACACUUGGUGCAUCUACUGUCAUGAUGGGGAGUUUCUUGGCUGGUAGCACUGAGGCUCUUGGUGCCUACAAAGUUCAGGAUUCUUAUGCGGUAAUCAGGCCCAGUUCCUGAUCAUUUAGAUAGAUAUGACAGCAGUACAUCAAGGAAAGAAGUUGUGGAGGCCUAAAAUCGAGAAUAUAAUUUGAUUCAGCAUCUCAGUAUUUUGAGUACCCAUGAAUCCUAUUUACCAGCCUCAAGUAGGUGAGUACUAAAUCUAUGGUUCAGUCAAAGUCCUGGCUCGUUUCCUGUGGUUGGAUGUCUAGAUAUACCAUCACAACAUGGAGACAUGUGUAUAAGAAGAUGAUGCAAAGAGAUAAAAACGUAGCAAAAGGACUUCUCACUUCCUUCCUGGCCCUCUUGACUAUGGAGCUGGACAGUUAGAUAAAAGACGGUAUGGUGGGCAGCUGACCAGCAAAAUACGUAAUGAGACUACUAAUGCAGGGACGAUUUCAAAUACGUUGAGAUAGGUUUGAGAAUCCAGUUGUUGUUCCUCAAAAAUGGCAACACCAAUGAGACUACUAAUGCAGUCUAUCCAAAAGUCUUAUACGUUAUGCCUUUAGAGAAUAGCAACACCAAAUGAGACUACUAAUGCAGUCUAUCCAAAAGUCUUAUACGUUAUUCCUUUAGAGAAUAGAUUGAGCAGAUACAAACAAUGAUGCAUAUGUAGCUAUAAUGCUAAGUGAGGCGCACGGGAUUACUUUCAGUGCAGUGGCUUGAGUGGUGGUUUACGAACGUCCACUGACAAAAGUUUGUUGCCUUCUUGGGUUCAGAUAAUUGCUUGCGCUUCUAAGUUAUGACAGAUGGGAAACAAAUAUGGUGUUCCUAUUAUUGCACAUGAUGGUAUGUGAUAGAUGGGAUGGAACCACCAAAAUGGUUAAUUAAAAGGGUGGUUCCGAGAUACAUGAGACGGUUGAAGUUGUGUUGUUUUCUUUGUGUUUUUGUGCCUUACUCUUUUCAGUGUUUAAGUUCUGUGGUUGGGUUACACAGGAUAUUGUCGUAAGCUAAAUUUUGGUUUUUAAAACUUAAACGGUGAAACCUUACACACUAUGUUUAGUUUUCUUUACCAGAUUGUAGAUUGAGAACAAUAUACAUAUGUAAUUAUUAUUAAAUAAUCACAGAUAAUUUCAAUCCUUGGGCGAUGCCUCCCAAGGACCGUCGAAUUAAGAGUAUAAUUUCAUCCGACGAAGAAGAUCAGAGUUUGCUGGCUGCUUGAUCAGACGUGAUAAGAAGGGUUAGCAGAUCUCAUGGGAACUAAUGAGUUUAAUCAAUUUAUUUAGUUUUUCAUGAAUAAAUUGUUUCUUUACAAAAUUUAGUUCAUGAGUGAAUACUAUGGUGCAUUUUUUCUAAGCAUUUCGUUUCAUUGCCUAUUGCUUAUUCCUUA